GAUCCUACGGGGGGCAGCAGUGAGGAAUAUUGGUCAAUGGUCGGGAGACUGAACCAGCCAAGCCGCGUGAGGGAUGAAGGUACAGAGUAUCGUAAACCUCUUUUGUCAGGGAACAAAGGCGGGGACGUGUCCCCGGAUGAGUGUACCUGAAGAAAAAGCAUCGGCUAACUCCGUGCCAGCAGCCGUGGUAAUACGUAGGGGGCAAGCGUUAUCCGGAUUUACUGGGGGUAAAGGGAGCGUAGACGGAGGAGCAAGUCUGAUGU
rnacentral:rRNA from 1 species